UGACAGCUCAGAGCCUGGAGCCUGCUUCCGAUUCCGUGUCUUCCUCUCUCUCUGCCCCUCCCCUGCUCACACUCUGUCUCUCUCUCAAAAAUGAAUUAACUGAAAAAAAAAAAUGUCUUCCUCAAGAUUGGGGCUAGACCCCAAAGCAGAAAUUACAGGUGACAAGUGAGAGUUGGGACACACUUUGAGAUGAAGUUCUCUAAGGAAUAGUAAAAUCUUCUAUAAUGCUUCUGGGAGGAGGGAUGAAGGGACAGUUUGACAGAAGUUCUUCCUUAAUUCCUUCUGGAAAUACAGGUUUCCCUCUGGACCAGAAUCCUAACAAGGUAGCUCAGUGAAUCUUUGAAAGACAAUUGGAAACCUGAUAUCAUGAUUUGUAGACUGAUUGACUGGGUUCAAAUCCCACUUCUGACAGCAAUUUGAAGUAGUCACUUCACUCUCUCAGCCUUGGCUUCCUCAUCUUGAGAUAAAUGAUACCUGAUUCAUAGAAAUGCUUGCUGGUGAGAUUUGGGGGACAGCAAUGAAGGACCCAUCUGCACCCCGCUGUCAAGGCAAGGCCCUCGGCAAAAUUUUGAGCAGAUGAGUCAUCAUGACGUUGCAGAACUGGGUCCAAAGGCUGCCUGAUUCAAGCAGGAUGCUAACACUACUGAACCAGACCUGUGGUCUCAUCAAGAAGGCUGAUUUUGAACUACCCUUUUGGUAGCUGUUGUAUGUUGGGCUCAUCUUUCAGGGCCUUCACCACAUCUUUCCCAGGCUUAAUAUUUGAGAAGUGAAGACAGAAACAGUAAAAUUAAGAUGAAAGAACGUGGUCUCCAAAAGUUGUCUCUGUUUCCACUUGCCAUAUAAUUUGGGCCUCCGUUUUUGAGAAGGCUAGAAACAUGUCUAACCGUGUAUCGUGACCUCCAACAUACCCUAUUGACCAGUCAGCCUUGUGGAAAGAAAAUAACUAGUGAUAUUGAUGACCUAUCAAACAUUUUGCAUUCAUAACAAAAAUACAAAAGAAUAUGUAAUGAAAGCAGCAGUGGUGGCCAGUUGAAGGCUGAUAUUCUGACAAUGGAAGGAAAGAAGGAACAAUGAAGAGAUGGAAGACACAAUGGUCCCAAAGAAGCCAACUGAACUGUCACUGCAGCUGAUCUCACCAAAGUGAUCAACAAUCUUCCUGUCACUCAAUAUGAAAGACACUUGAAGUCAUUGCAUUAUGGGACUGCUCUGCAGCACUGGACCCUGUUGACCAGACAAAACUCCUUGAAGUACCAUCGUCCUUUACCUUCCCAGACACUGUCUUUUCCUGGUUUUCCUCCAUCCCCAGACUGAGCCCUCUUCCGACAAACAGCUAUUGUCAGUUCCUCU